rnacentral:rRNA from 1 species
UACGUAGGGGGCAAGCGUUGUCCGGAAUUAUUUGGGCGUAAAGAGCGCGUAGGCGGUCCGAUAAGUCGGCUGUGAAAGUCAGGGCUCAACCCUUGAAAGCCGGCCGAUACUGUCGGACUAGAGUCCGGAAGAGGCGAGUGGAAAUUCCUGGUGUAGCGGUGGAAUGCGUAGAGAUCCGGAAGAACACCGGUGGCGAAGGCGGUGAGCUGGGCAGUGCUGACACUGAGGCGCGACAGC